rnacentral:rRNA from 1 species
AGCGAACGCUGGCGGCAGGCUUAACACAUGCAAGUCGAGCGGGCAUCCUUGUGGUGUCCGCGGCAGACGGGUGAGUAACGCGUGGGAACGUGCCCUUCGGUUCGGAAUAACUCAGGGAAACUUGAGCUAAUACCGGAUACGUGCGAGAGCAGAAAGGUUUAUCUGCCGAAGGAUCGGCCCGCGUCUGAUUAGCUAGUUGGUGAGGUUAUGGCUCACCAAGGCGACGAUCAGUAGCUGGUCUGAGAGGAUGAUCAGCCACACUGGGACUGAGACACGGCCCAGACUCCUACGGGAGGCAGCAGUGGGGAAUAUUGGACAAUGGGGGCAACCCUGAUCCAGCCAUGCCGCGUGAGUGAUGACGGCCUUAGGGUUGUAAAGAUCUUUUCUCCGGGACGAUAAUGACGGUACCGGAGGAAUAAGCCCCGGCUAACUUCGUG